rnacentral:rRNA from 1 species
UUCGCAAUGCCCGAAAGGGUGACGAAGCGACGCCGCGUGUGGGAAGAAGGCCUUCGGGUUGUAAACCACUGUCGGGAGUUAAGAAAUGUAAGGAUAUGAAUAGCGCCUUUACUUGACAAAGGCUCCGGAGGAAGCCACGGCUAACUCUGUGCCAGCAGCCGCGGUAAUACAGAGGCGGCAAGCGUUGUUCGGAAUUAUUGGGCGUAAAGAGCACGUAGGCGGCUAUGUAAGUCGGUUGUGAAAGCCUUCCGCUCAACGGGAGAACAGCAUCCGAUACUGCAUGGCUUGAGUGCGGGAGGGGAGAGUGGAACUUCUGGUGGAGCGGUGAAAUGCGUAGAUAUCAGAAGGAACGCCGGCGGCGAAAGCGGCUCUCUGGCCCAUAACUGACGCUGAGUGUGCGAAAGCUAGGGGAGCAAACGGGAUUAGAUACCCCGGUAGUCCUAGCCGUAAACGAUGGGCACUAAGUAGAGGGGUUUU